GAGCCUGAGGAAGAGGGCGGCGGCGGUGGUGGUGACUGAGCGGAGCCCGGUGACAGGAUGUUGGUGUUGGUAUUAGGAGAUCUGCACAUCCCACACCGGUGCAACAGUUUGCCAGCUAAAUUCAAAAAACUCCUGGUGCCAGGAAAAAUUCAGCACAUUCUCUGCACAGGAAACCUUUGCACCAAAGAGAGUUAUGACUAUCUCAAGACUCUGGCUGGUGAUGUUCAUAUUGUGAGAGGAGACUUCGAUGAGAAUCUGAAUUAUCCAGAACAGAAAGUUGUGACUGUUGGACAGUUCAAAAUUGGUCUGAUCCACGGACAUCAAGUUAUUCCAUGGGGAGAUAUGGCCAGCUUAGCCCUGUUGCAGAGGCAAUUUGAUGUGGACAUUCUUAUCUCAGGACACACACACAAAUUUGAAGCAUUUGAGCAUGAAAAUAAAUUCUACAUUAAUCCAGGUUCUGCCACUGGGGCAUAUAAUGCCUUGGAAACGUGAGUAGUAUGGAAUUUGGGGGCUUUAGUAAAAUAAUUGCAUGUGUGACAUUUCGUAAAAGAAAUG
rnacentral:sRNA from 1 species